rnacentral:ncRNA from 1 species
AAAAAAGGCAAAUUCGUCGAAAGGCGGAGACGCAAAGCCACGGGUCUAAUUUAUCGAGGGAAGCUCGAUGAGAUGAUAGCCGGGUCGC